rnacentral:rRNA from 1 species
CCUACGGGAGGCAGCAGUGGGGAAUAUUGCGCAAUGGGCGAAAGCCUGACGCAGCGACGCCGCGUGAGGGAUGAAGGUACAGCGUAUCGUAAACCUCUUUUGUCAGGGAACAAAGGCGGGGACUAGUCCCCGGAUGAGGGUACCUGAAGAAAAAGCAUCGGCUAACUCCGUGCCAGCAGCCGCGGUAAUACGGAGGAUGCGAGCGUUAUCCGGAUUUAUUGGGUUUAAAGGGUGCGCAGGCGGCCUGUUAAGUCAGCGGUAAAAGCCCGGGGCUCAACCCCGGCGAGCCGUUGAAACUGGCGGGCUGGAGUUGGAGAGAAGUACGCGGAAUGCGCGGUGUAGCGGUGAAAUGCUUAGAUAUCACGAAGAACUCCGAUUGCGAAGGCAGCCUACUAAACUGCCACUGACAUUGAUGCUCGAAAGUGUGGGUAUCAAACAGGAUUAGAUACCCCAGUAGUC